rnacentral:sRNA from 1 species
UCGGGGGUGCGGCGAUCCUCUCUGUGACAGGGAACGGCUCGGGAAACGCUUGGCGCGUUCCCUCCUGCCACGGGAGGAGCAGCCGGAGCCGGAGGAGGCGUUCGCAGCCUCAGUUGCUGGCGAUCCGGAUCUAAAGUCCCCGCACGGAGGUUGCACAGACUGCCAGGAGGCGAUUUGCCUACUGGCUGGGAAGAAGCAUAUACUUUUGAAGGUGCAAGAUACUAUAUAAACCAUAAUGAAAGGAAAGUGACCUGCAAACAUCCAGUCACAGGACAACCAUCACAGGACAAUUGUAUUUUUGUAGUGAAUGAACAGACUGUUGCAACCAUGACAUCUGAAGAAAAGAAGGAACGGCCAAUAAGUAUGAUAAAUGAAGCUUCUAACUAUAACGUGACUUCAGAUUAUGCAGUGCAUCCAAUGAGCCCUGUAGGCAGAACUUCACGAGC